rnacentral:lncRNA from 1 species
UUUGGCAACACAUUAGGCUUAGCACAUUUGGGCUUACAAAUUCGGUUUAGAAAAUAAUACCCAAAACAAAUAAUUAAAUAACUAAAAUAAAAAAUAUAAAUUUAAUUAAUUUGGUACGGUUCGGUUUGGUUUCUAGACCAUUGAAAUUGAAACCGAACCAAAAGAAUUCGGUUCGGUUCAGUUUUUUUUUUGUCUCUGUUUGGUGUUUAGUACCUUUUUUUUUCGGUUUUUGGUUUUUUGAACCCACCCCUAAUACUUCAACCGAAAUU